rnacentral:rRNA from 1 species
GAUGAACGCUGGCGGCGUGCCUAAUACAUGCAAGUCGAGCGAACAGACGAGGAGCUUGCUCCUCUGACGUUAGUGGCGGACGGGUGAGUAACACGUGGAUAACCUACCUAUAAUACUGGGAUAACUUCGGGAAACCGGAGCUAAUACCGGAUAAUAUAUUGAACCGCAUGGUUCAAUAGUGAAAGACGGUUUUGCUGUCACUUAUAGAUGGAUCUGCGCCGCAUUAGCUAGUUGGUAAGGUAACGGCUUACCAAGGCAACGAUGCGUAGCCGACCUGAGAGGGUGAUCGGCCACACUGGAACUGAGACACGGUCCAGACUACUACGGGAGGCAGCAGUAGGGAAUCUUCCGCAAUGGGCGAAAGCCUGACGGAGCAACGCCGCGUGAGUGAUGAAGGUCUUCGGAUCGUAAAACUCUGUUAUUAGGGAAGAACAAAUGUGUAAGUAACUAUGCACGUCUUGACGGUACCUAAUCAGAAAGCCACGGCUAACUACGUG